ACAUACCAUUCACCAGUGCAGCCCAUGGGCCAGAGAACUGCAGAGAAGCCUUUUCUGCUCCACAGGGAAGCUCUCCACCAGGCAAGCCACAUGCUCACCAGCUGCAUCUAUGCUCACCUUUGUCCUCCUCGUGUUCCUGCACCUGCUCUCGAACUCAUGCAUCCUUCCCAGGUCCCUGCUUGGCCUGCCAUCAGCCCCUGUCCUGCACUAAAGUGACAAAAAAAGAACAAUGUCACCACUUUCUUUAUAUCGUGGUGAUUCUUUAACAGAGGGUCAUGACACCGGUUCAGCCCCAUUGCUCUUUGGAGAGAAUGAAGAAGGUCUAAUCCCCAGAGAGGAGGAGGAUUCUCUCUCCUUUGGAUUUCAGACCAGCCACCCAUCCCCUGGUGAUAGAUUUUAGCACCUCUCUCCUGUCUGUGCUGGACAUGAACAAUGAGCAGCAACCUCCCCCCCAAAUUCCUUUCCCUCAAGUGAGAGAGAAGACAGAUGGCAAGGAGCAUAUUUGAAGCAUUUUAACCUUGUCCACAUGUUAUAACAUUAUAAAAAGAGUAGAAAA